UACCCGUCUAUGAGCUCUCUUAAUAAGACUUAUGGGUAAUAUAUAUAUAUAUAUUUAUAUAUAUACACACAUAUUUAAAAAUAUAAAAGAAAUUAUAUCCGGUAUACAAUCGGAUAAACGGGUACACUGUACACUUUAUCAGGUAAUCGGGUCUGGUAAACAUGUAUAUCACCAAAUCCCAAACCCGCGAAAACAUAAAAACCCGUCCCAAACCCUGUUAGCCGACCCCAAACCCGUCCCAAAUGUGUCAGAUUUCGGGUUUACCCAUCAGGUUCGGGUUCGAUUGCCAUCCCUAAUGAGGUUAGCUGCAUUUGUAACAAUAGGUUUUGUUGUUUGGAUAUAUAGUAUACAUGUUUAUUAAGCCAUGAAACCUUUAUGGUUCUUCAAAAGCCAGUUUUGGAUAUCAGUGCAAUUGCUAGUAAUUUGUCCAAAGAAUUAUCUUGUUUUGCCUUUUGGGUAGAGGUGGCCAAAUGGUUGGGUCGCUUGGGCUGAGCAAUGGGUCGAAUCGGUCAAGUUUUAAGUUCAGGUCAUAACGGGGGUAGGCCAACCUACGUAUGGCUUUCAAGAAAAGCAUUGUAAGUGGUUUUUAUAAAAUUGAGUACACUUCCUAUGGCUUUCAGUUUGUUUGACCUGUUUGACCCAUUUGACCUGUUUUCUUUUUAGUUAAGCCCUUUAGUCUUUAGCUUAAUCCAUUUGACAUGUCAGAUGUAAGACAUGUAUGGUUUGACUUGAAAUCCGGGCCGCCCAUUUUGCCGAUUCUACUUGUUUUUCUUCCAUCGUGGCUUUUUAAAGUGUUCCUGUAUGUUGGUUUAAAUCUGUAACGGUCCUCAGCCCCCUGGAGCUGGUGCUGACUGAAGCUGAAAAAGAUUAUGCAGUAAAUGCUAUGAAGCACAUAUUCGACAAACAUGUCGUGAAAUACGGUACUGGAUAAGUAAUCUCAUCUAAGAGAAAUCUUCUUUUCUAGUACUUCUUUAUAUAUUAAAAUAAUUUAAAAAAUCUCUCACUUUAAUCAUGGAUGCUUGUUUAAGUCAUUGUGGUUAUAGAUGCUUCUGAAGCGGAAUAAUUUGCUGAGGUGGCCACGAAGCCACUGAAAGCCCUUUCAUAUGAUACAUCUGGUCGAAGUUUAUGGCAUUUGAAUAUCCAUAAGGGGUCCCAGCUUAGCUGCUGGUGGAUUUUUUAACGUGUUGAAGGUUGUUAUCGUCAAAGAGAUGCUUCUGAAGCGGAACAAAGUCAUCGAAUGCCCUUCCAUAUGAUACAUCCGGUCAAACCAUUUGGCAUUUGAGAAACCAUAAGGGGCCCCACCUCAGCUGUUGGCAGAUUUUCUAACGCCUUGAAGUUUAUCGUCGAAGAGGUCCCUAAACUCAUAUGAAAAACAAAAUGCAAUCAUCAGCCCCAAACUGUCCUCAGCCCCCUGGAGCUAACGGAAACUGAAACAGAUUAUGCAAUAAUUCUAUGACACACAUAUUCGACAAACUUGUCUCGAAAUACAGUACUGGGGCAAUUACUGACUUACUGGAUAUGUAAGUUUAUCUUAGAGAAAACCGCUUUUCUGGUAGUUUAUGUAUUAAAAUAAGUAAAAAAAUUCUCACCUUCAUCAUGGAUGCUUGUUUAGGUCAUAUAGUUGUUAUAGAUGCUUUUGAAGCGGAAGAAUUUGCUGAGGUGGCAACGAAGCCACUGAAAGCCCUUCCAUAUGACACACCUGGUUGAAGUUUAUGGCAUUUGAGUACCCCAUAAGGGGUAAUAACUUCUCAUCUCAUAUUCUCAUGUUAUAACAAAGUACUAUAUAGUUGGCAACUUUGACCUAUUUACUUUAGAAUCUCAUGUUAUAACAAAGUACCAAGGUUUCUAUUUUAUUGCGGUUUUGGUCCACCACACUAACUCCAUCUAACUUAUAGUUAAAUCCUGGUCACAUGAGAUGCAUAUAUGGGUAGGGUAUUUUGGAAAAGAGUAAAUUACGUUUUUGGCCCCUGUGGUUAUAUCAGUUUUACUAUAUUGGCCCAAAAUAAGAUUUUUUAACAGAUUUGCCCCCAUGGUCCCUGUAACCAUGGUUGUAAAACAAGGUUUCCAAGGCCGAGUACUCCCCGAGUAGUCGCUACAAGGUAGGCUGCCGAGGCGACUUUCUUUGACUCUGCCUAAUUACUCGAAAUUGGUCAAACGUGGUCAACCUCAGCCAAAAUAGUAUCUAGUAGGUCAACUCGGGCCGAGUUUAUCUUAAAAAAUAAUAAAACAUAAUUUCUAUGCCUAUCAUAUUAGAGAAUUAAUAUCAUUUUCACGUUUUUUGUUCUAUAUAUUAGUAAAUUUAUGUUAUUUGUCAUAUAUAUAAUUUCCAAAAACUAAUUUCUUUAUAAUUUAACAUGUCCGAGUACUCCCCGAGUACUCUCCGCCUAGGCCGAGUACUCUCAACUCCCCGGUCGACCGACUAGGGGGUGCGUAGCGACUUUUGCAACCAUGCCUGUAACUAACCGUUUUGGCCCCUAAAUCUAACCAAACCCUAACUCAGGUUAAUUUAUUGGCCACAUGUUUAUCACAUGAUGUCUAAUUUGGUAAUUUUACCUCCCCCUAAUAUGUCUCUAUAAAUAAAACCCUACACCCCUAUUUUUUCACUUCAUCUUCUUCACUAAAUCAUCUUCUUCUUCGACAGUUCAUUCAAACCUCCCAUGUUUGUAAAAUCACAGAUGAGAUCGAGCAGAAAAGGAAAGAACUCCGGUUAUACCUCAACGCCGAGAAGUCACUGGAGAAGAAUGACCGGUGGAUAUCGACUCCAUUCAAACAUCCAGCGACGAUUGACAGAGCGAUAAUCGAUUCCGAUCUCAAAAACAAAGUCAGCGAUGAUUGGUUCCGAUCAGGUCAGGUGUGUGUGGCGCGAUGGUUGUUGGAUUUGGUGGGUCAGACGGAUUUGGGUGUGUAUGGUGGUGGUUUAACGAAUUUGAAUUACUGAAUCUGAAUCACCCAGAUCUGUUAAUGUUUGAUUCGAAUCGGAUUUGGUGGGUUUCAUUACAAACACUGAAUUUAGAAUUUGCUAAUGUUUGAUUCAGUUCUGAUUGAAGUUUAUUAAAAGCAAAGCAAAACCCA